ensembl:lncRNA
GUUAUUUAUUGGUGUGGCUGAGUGACAGACACCGCUGGAGUAUUUCACCAAGCCUGGAAACGAACGAGACAGAGAGACGGGAGGAGAGACGGGAGGAGAGACGGGAGGAGAGACGUCACGAAUUCACGGGAGUUGUGCGGACACACGAGGGGAGCACUGAAGGGACUUUGCACUGUGGAUAACUGUGGAUUGGCUUCACUGUAAAUAAAGACACUGUUCAACUUUAACGAGAGGGCCGCGUCUGGGUUCCCUAACUCUAACAAUGUAGCUUGCCAUCACCAGUGUGUGAAUGUGUGUGUGAAUGGAUGACUGGAUAUGUAAAGCGCUUUGGGGUCCUUAGGGACUAUUAAAGGCGCUAUAUAAAUACAGGCCAUUUACCUAACUCACCACCCUUAACAUCUUGAGAUAAACGGCGUCUUAAAGUCUGAAACAGCCAACAGUGCUCAGUUGUUAGAAACAAUGUAACAAUUCAACACACACACACACACAAUUUGCCGUUUCAGCUCGAUUGAAAACACAAAGUAAUUCCUGUUUGUAUAAAUUUACCAUGAAAAGCCAAAAUGCCUACAGCGGCUGAUGAACCUAAUUAACCCCCCCCCCCGCUAUAGUGCACAGUGGACCGCAUGGCCACAGGAAGUGCCCCUUUUCGGAUAAGUGAAAGCGCGUGCAUGAGAGUGCAUGUGUGCGUGCGUGCAAAAGGUGCCAGUUUUUAAGCUCGGCAAAGGGGGUGUGGGGGGCCCUUAAAGCUGAUAUUUAGAAGUACAGAGUAACUGUGAAGCCCCACACUUACUUCAGUGUGCAUACAGAUGCGCUGCGCUAACAUCUAUUUUUUCCACAGCAAAGGGUUAAUCGUGGGAUCUAAUCACAUGAUUUACAGCAGGACAUACCACUGGCUAAUGUUUUUUUCUUAUGACAGGGCCUGGAGUGAAACUACUCCAAGGGAGAGAUCCUGGAAUUUUUAAGUGACAAUCCACAACUUUAUUGUGCAUGUCUAAUUGUGUUAAACUAACAUUUGGCAAAAGAGGGUUUUCCGUGGAAGUUUUCAUUUUUAAAUUGCAUAGACCGUGACAUGAGGGAUAUGGAAGGAUUGACUGAGGUACAGAUGCAGACCAUGACUGGGAGAGAAGGCUUCAAGAGGACCAGUGAGAAGCAGGGACCAUCUGCAGGACAGCUGACAAACGACAGUGGGCUGCACCACUGGGCUUCCAAAGGAUUGUCACGAGGAGAUUUUGAACAGCAAAAUCUUAAAUAAAAUGAAAGAGAUUUCUACGUUGACGUUGAGGAAGACUACAGGAGUGUACGACUUGCUCUGCUCCUAAUCUACAGCCGCGUUGGAACAGAAAUGGAGGGAUGAAGAGAGCGUGCCAAGCUCCAAAAGUGACAGCGCAAAGGGAGACCAGCGUUGGAAUAAUGACUCUGUAAAUGGCACAGACACCAGGAGCCAUGACUGUGACUGGGAAUGACCACCUAAUGCUGUUUCACUUUGCCAUGCAAAGUACUCUGGAGAAGACCUUUCCUCUGUAUCAUUGUUGUUGCCAUUUGCAUGUGAGAGCUUAGAUUGUGGGGAGAAUUAAAGAUGAACAAAGGGUGGUGGGAGAACAGUGAAGUGAGGAUACACAGUGUGAAACUCCUUUAAGUGUACAAUAAUGUUGAUGUGAUAUACAGAAUGUCAGGAAAGAAAUUCUGGUAUUAAUGUGAUUCUUGAUUUAAGAAUCAAAGGGUGGGAUUGUAUAGGAAUUUCUUUUACUUAUGUAUUAAUCGCAUUAUUUUAUUGUAUAAUGCCUUGCAGGCUGCAUAAACCAUAUUUACUCUCGCCUAACACUCAAAGCACUUUGCACUCCAAGCUGUAACAGCAGACACAUUUUAACCUUCACAUGAAUGCAUACCUGAUUGUUAUUUGAGAUACAUAUGAUAAGAUACUGGGAUUGAACCUCUGUCAAUCUGAUGAAAAUCCAAUCCAUCAUAAAAAACAUGAAUAAGAUAUUGGAAAACAAAGGCCUCCAAAAAGCACUUAAUCCAAAAACAGAGACAUUUUCUUGCCCUUGUUUAUAACCAUUUUACAUAUGUUUUCCAUCUUAGUAUUCAAAUGGUUAUUUGAAUAGUUUAGUUAUGUACUAAACUAAAACACGUACUUUUUACUUUGAUUUAACAGCACGAAUGACUGUUUGCCUCUCUGUAGUGAGCCUGUGAUAGACUGAUGAAACACAGCUUAAAUACAUUGGAG